CGGUGGAGUAACCUUUUAGGAGCUAGCCGUCGAAGGUGGGACAAAUGAUUGGGGUGAAGUCGUAACAAGGUAGCCGUAUCGGAAGGUCGGCUGGAUCACCUCCUUUCU
rnacentral:rRNA from 1 species